GAAUGAUAUGACGGAAUACAGUAAAGAUUCAUCAAAAAGGAUGUUUUUCAGUAUUUUAAUCCUGGUUCAUGGUUGUGUGGCAUUCCCAUUGAAAUGCCCCGAACCAGCGCAGUGGUCACUCCGUGCAAGAGGUCAUUGUCCAGAUCCAUCUAAGUAUUUCUGUUUAAAGAAUGAUCUUAUCAAUGGGUUUUCGGAAAAUUG